UUCAGCUCCAAAUCACACCCUGUAUCCCUGUACCCUGAGAGAGGUUCAGCUCCAAAUCACACCCUGUACCCCUGUACCCUGAGAGAGGUUCAGCUCCAAAUCACGCCCUGUACCCCUGUACCCUGAGAGAGGUUCAGCUCCAAAUCACACCCUGUACCCCUGUACCCUGAGAGGUUAUACUCCAAAUCACACGCUGUACCCCUGUACCCUGAGAGAGGUUCAGCUCCAAAUCACACCCUGUAUCCCUGUACCCUGAGAGAGGUUCAGCUCCAAAUCACGCCCUGUACCCCUGUACCCUGAGAGAGGUUCAGCUCCAAAUCACAC